CCUACGGGAGGCAGCAGUGAGGAAUAUUGGUCAAUGGACGAGAGUCUGAACCAGCCAAGUAGCGUGAAGGAUGACUGCCCUAUGGGUUGUAAACUUCUUUUAUAUGGGAAUACAAUGUUCCACGUGUGGGAUUUUGUAUGUACCAUAUGAAUAAGGAUCGGCCAACUCCGUGCCAGCAGCCGCGGUAAUACGGAGGAUCCGAGCGUUAUCCGGAUUUAUUGGGUUUAAAGGGAGCGUAGGUGGAUUGUUGAGUCAGUUGUGAAAGUUUGCGGCUCAACCGUAAAAUUGCAGUUGAAACUGGCAGUCUUGAGUACAGUAGAGGUGGGCGGAAUUCGUGGUGUAGCGGUGAAAUGCUUAGAUAUCACGAAGAACUCCGAUUGCGAAGGCAGUUCACUGGACUGCAACUGACACUGAGGCUCGAAAGUGUGGGUAUCAAACAGGAUUAGAUACCCCUGUAGUC
rnacentral:rRNA from 1 species